rnacentral:lncRNA from 1 species
CUUCGGCUUAGAAAUGAAGAUAAGCACCAACCCCCAGAGUCGGACACAACUGGACUUAGCAGGCCAUGCACGUUUGUUUCGUGCAUUGAUGUCCUUACUCCCAUACUAUGGGGAUGGGGUGCCAAUGCACCCUGUCCCAUUCCUAUUGGGUUAUCUAGCAAUCAUGCAUGCAUUUUCAAUGUGGGAUGGUUUAUGUAGUUAGUUUUGUUUAUUGCUUAGUAACCUGAAGCCAAAGCAUUCCAGAGUUGAUGGCACCAUUUUAGGGGUUUUGCAUGCGAUGUGGAAAUGGGAGUAUACUUCCUGGAGAUAUACAGGAAGUUACAUAUGCCUUUAGAAUUUGGAGUAUAAAAGGAGAUACUUUUUUGUUCUCUCUCUUCCUGCCUCUUCAUGCUCUUCAUGUGAAUUUUUUGACUCUCCCUCCAAUUCCUCCAUCUCCUGUCAAAUCCCCCCAAGAAUCAAUUGGAUCCCCUGACUGCCAGUCUUCACUCCCAGAGAACCCCAUAAAGGUACCACUAGUUGUUGGUGCCUCACAAAUAGCUUGCACUUCUCUUAUCUUAGUCCAAUCCAUGGUGUCUCCUUCUUCUCCUUCACUCAUUGACCCAUCAUCCCCAGAGAAUCCCUCAAAUGACUCCUCAUCUGUAGGUGCUGUAAGUAUGUCCCGGAUCCUCUUUCUCUGCUGCUCUUCAUCAGAUUCCUGCUCCCAAGAACCCCUUUUUUCCCUUCUGGCACCCAUACUACUGUUUGUAACGUUACUCACAGGCUCUACUAUAACAGAAAACCAUGCAAACACAUUGAUGUUAAUUUAGCCUCUGCUUAAAAACUUCCAGAGCAGGAGACUCUGCCACACUGAGACAACAGCACAUUCCAAACAGCUCUUACUCUUGUUGAAUGCGAUUUCCUGCUUGAAUGCGAUUUCCUGCUUCUUAGCGGGGGGUUGGACUAGAUGGCCCUUGAGGUCUCUUCCAACUCUACUAUUCUAUGAUUCUAUGAUUCAGGAAAUUCCGUCUAAUGUUUAGGUGAAAUCUCCUUUCUCACAGUUUGAAUCCAUUGCUCUGUGUUUUAGUCUCUAGAGCAGCGAUUUAACAAAUCCAUCUAACAGUAUUAUUAUGUAGCCUACAUUUUCCUAGUUUGUUUGCAAAAAGAUCUUGGGGAACCUUGUCAAAGGCCUUACUGAAAUCAAGAUAUGCUACAUUCCAAGAAGAUCAUGGGGGACCUUGUCAAAGGCCUUACUGAAAUCAAGAUAUUAGCUAUCCCUUUUACUUCAGUGUCAUUUGCAAAUUAGAUAAGCAUGCCUUCUAUUCUGUCAUCCAAGUCAUUGAUAAAAAUGUUCAAUAGCACUGGGUCCGGGUUAGAACCCUUUGACACCCCACUGGUCACUUCUCUCCAGAAUGAAGAGGAGCCAUUGGUAAGCACCCUUUGGUUCAGCAAAUUUCCCAUAUCCACCUAACAGUAUCAUCAUCUAGCCCACAUUUUAUUAGCUUCUUUGUGAGAAUGUCACUGGAAAUCUUGUCAAAAGCCUUACAGAAAUUGAGAUAUGUUAUAUCCACAGCAUUCCCUUCAUCUAUCAAGAGUUCAUUUGGCAUACCUUGUUUUUGAGAAACCCAUGUUAACUUUUGUGAAUAUAGUAUUCUUUUCUAAGCACUUACAGACGAUGUGUUUUAAUGAUCUUCUCUAGGAUCUUUCCUGGGAUUGAUAGAAGCUGUGGGACACAAUAUAUAUCUUUUAGUGAGUGGUCUUGAAGCCCAGUGCAAUGCUCUUGCCAUACUGUCACAGAUGUAAUCAUAAAAGCAGUGAAAUAGAAACUGUGUUUGUUCGGAUAUAGAAAAACUGAAUGGAGUCAUAUUCCCACUGGUCUUGGUGAAGCCCCAUCUUUCUCAUGCUAUUUAUUUAUUUAUUUAUUUACAACAUUUAUACCCCGCCCUUCUCACCCGAGGGGACUCAGGGCGGCUAACAAAAAUUGACAAAAUGUAAUGCCCAAAAUGCAAUCAUAAAAACAAAACAAUAUAAACAGAUCUAUUAAUAACAUUGUUAAAACACAUUAUAAAAACCUUUAAAACAUAUAUAUAUAAUUAAUUCCAUUCAUCCGAGAUCCUAAUGCUACUCUUUAACUCUACCCGGUUUCCCUGAAAAUAAAACAUCCCCUGAAAAUAAGACCUAGUAGAGGUUUUGAUGAAUUGCUAAAUAUAAGACCUUCCCUGAAAGUAAGACCUAGCAAAGUUUUUGUUUGGAAGCAUAUCCGCCAAAUAGAACACCAGAGCAUGCAGGAUCAGUAAAUGUAUGUACCGUAGAUUAUUGUACAUGGAAAUAAUGAUAGUAACAAGAAAUUCCUGAUAGGAUUCACAGUUUGUCUGGUUAUGCUGGUUUGUGAUGACAACUACUGUACAAUAUAUAACAAAUGUUCUUUUUUUGUUCAACAAUAAAUACGAAUUCUUCAUGGAAAAAUAAGACAUCCCCUGAAAAUAAGACCUAGCGCAUCUUUGAGAGCAAAAAUUAAUAUAAGACACUGUUUUAUUUUCGGGGAAACACGGUAUGUCUGAUGAAUUGUGCCAUAAGAGGUUGGUGCUAUUUGUGUGAAGCUUCCAUAGCUCUCUAUCCUGGUCCUUUUCCCAGCUUGGAAAAACACUUUUAUUUCUUCAUUAGUCCCUGAACCUUUGUUUCAAGUUGGGUUUUCAAUCUUUUUCAACCUCCUAAGAUUUGGAUCUUCUAUGCUUUGCUCCUGACCAUUCUGUUUUAAAGAUGAGGAUGAGGAAAGCUAAAGCAGUGAGUAAUCUGAAGCAAUUCCAUAGAACAGUUUGUAAAUUAGCAUAGGCUCAUUUCUCAUUUGGUUGUGGCAAAGAUUAUACAUUGUGGAAGAAUAGGGGCAGGGAGAGGGAAAAGGCAUAUGUGUGUGUGAGGGGAGGGUAGUCUUUGUUGUGGAUCUGGCCCUGGACAAAGCCAGUUUUUCCCAAGGACAGGAAGAGGACAAAGAGUAGCUUCCUUAAAAAGGAGCUCUGGUGCCUUCUUACUGACCUUUCCUUGUUCAAUGCAACAUGUUGUAGUGUUCCUUCACAAUGGAGAACAUUCUGCUCUCUAUGUACUUGGCAAAUGUAGAAAUGGGCUUAAAAAAACCUUAUUGCAUGAAUCAUGAAUUAUUGGCAAGGUGUUUGAAGUGACUCCAAGAUUUCUUUUUGACUGACUUGCACUUUCUCGGGAGAUUUGUGUCCUUUUCCUCUGCUUCACCCUUGAUGUGAGGAGGCUGGACUUGGAACACAUAACUGAGUCAUUUGGCCAAGGCAUUUUCUCUUUUGAAAGCUGUUCCUAGAAACCACUUAAUCUUCCUGCCUUCAAGUUUUUCAGGAGAGGGCAUGACUUUCAUCAAAGAAAGGCUGGAUCUUCUACAGAAGAACAAAGGCUGGCAUCCCAUGGUGCCCAUUGUCUUGUCAAUACUCUUCAAACACAACCAGGUGAACGCCACCUUGCCUAGUAGGAGCAAUCUCUUUUUGUUUUGUUUUGUUUAAGUGUCACCUGCUACUUUUGCACUCAGAUCAGAAAGCCCCCUUUAUUCCUUGGAUUUGGUGAAGUGUAGUGCUGUCUCCAGCUCCCUCUGCUGACAGCCCUGUUAAUCCAAUUCGAACACUCUCUUGACAGCAGCCGCAGAUCCUUCUUCCCUUGUGAAAGUUGAUCAUACUUUGGAUAACAGUUCUAACAUUGGAGUUACUGAAUUUUCACCUUGGCAGGCACUUCCUUGAAACCCUCCCUGCCUUCUCAGACCGAAUAAUCAAUCCUCAUGUGAAAAUAAUUCUUUCUCUCUACUGUGUAUGCAAGCUAUCCACUAUUAAAGCAGUUUCAUUGGGGCCACGUGAGUGUUGGCAGCCAAGUGCUUGGUUCAGCAUUUGGCAUUCCAGGCACAAAAGAGGCUCAGGCCUCACAGCAAGGCAGUCAGCAGCCCAGGCUUUGUCUUCUCCGCAGUUACAUCCUGGGUUUACAUUGGCAGCGUCUCCCCCUAAUGCAGACUCCCUGUUCCUCAUUUGGCCUGGGAGUCAAUCUCUCUGCCUGAUCUGCCAAAAGCAUUACUAAGGGGGCUGAUGGUGCUCGAUGGAUUCUUUAAAGACAGAAACAGCUUUGUGUCUAUCUGGAACACCAAAAUCAGAGGCACAAUAUAGUGAGAGCAUUGCUGUAAUUCUGCCUGAAUUGUUGGUUGUUAUAAAAUGGGGUCACAUCCUAGGCCUGCAUGGAAAAAGCACAAAACCCAUGAAAAAGAAAUUAUUACAGCCAGCAAUGAACACUCUCAAAACACAGCCGCCACCUCCCCCGCCACAUUUUUAACCUCGAAUGUCCCCAUACUGGGCCUUUUGGCAUUGCUGAAUCUCCCAUCCUCAGUGCCCAGUGAUGAUUUGUGAAGCAAACCCAUAUGAUUCAUUUAUACACAGAAUUAGGUAAGCCCCCACAUUACUAGCCUUCAAGAAAGACUUGAAAACAUGGCUCUUCCGUUGUACUUUUGGAGAGUAACUACUAUAUACUUCUUUUCUGUUGCUCCCCUCCAAUAUCUAUCCUCUAGACUGUACCACUAUCUUAUGACCCUGUUCUUUAUGGUUUUUAUUCUUAUUCCUUUCUCACCCCGAGUUUUAACUUAGUGUUCAUGUGGCCCGCCCUUGUUUUUAUGCUUCCUGAUUUUGCGUUGUAAUGUAUAUUAUUAUCUAUUGUAUUGUUUAAUGUGUUAUGAUGUGUUGUUCUUUUAUAUUUUGUUAUAUUGUAUUGUUCUGGGCAUGGCCCAUGUAAGCCGCCAAGAGUCCCCGUUGGGGAGAUGGUGGCAGGGUAUAAAUAAAGUUUUAUUAUUAUUAUUAUUAUUAUUAUUAUUAUUAUUAUUAUUAUUAAUUCCUUCUCCCCGUGCAUAUGAUGCCUAAUAAAGUAGAUUUGGGGGAGCAAACAUGGCAAGAGUAUCACCAUUAUGAUUGUGACUACCAAAUACAGUAGAGUCUCACUUAUCCAACACUCGCUUAUCCAACGUUCUGGAUUGUCCAAUGCAUUUUUGUAGUCAAUGUUUUCAAUACAUCGUGAUAUUUUGGUGCUAAAUUCGUAAAUACAGUAAUUACUACAUAGCAUUACUGUGUAUUGAACUACUUUUUCUGUCAAAUUUGUUGUAUGACAUAAUGUUUUGGUGCUUAAUUUGUAAAACCAUAACCUAAUUUGAUGUUUAAUAGACUUUUUAUUAUCCAACAUAUUCGCUUAUCCAACGUUCUGCCGGCCCAUUUACGUUGGAUAAGCGAGACACUACUGUAGUUACUUAGGCCCCUUCUACACUGCCAUAUAAUCCAAACUUUCAAAGCAGACAAUCCAGAUUAUCUGCUUUGAACUGGAUUAUAUAUGUUUGUUUUAGGCCCCUUCUACACUGCCAUAUAAUUCAAUUCAAAGCAGAUAAUCUGGAUUUUAUAUGUCAGUGCAGAAAGGGUCUUAAAAGGUAAAGGUUUCCCCUGACGUUAAAUCCAGUCGUGACCGAAGAGCCGGCAUUGUCCAUAGACACCUCCAAGGUCAUGUGGCCGGCAUGACUGCAUGGAGCGCCCUUACCUUCCCGCUGGGAGCAGUACCUAUUGAUCUACUCACAUUGGCAUGUUUUCAAACUGCUAGGUUGGCAGGAGCUGGGGCUAACAGCGGGUGCUCAUUCCGCUCCCGGGAUUUGAACCUGUGACCUUUUUGGUCUGCAAGUUCAGCAGCUCAGUGCUUUAACACACUGUGCCACCAGGGGCUCCC